AGAUGGCAAGCCAAAUGAUCUGGAUUACCGGACAUUCUUUUAUAAGCUGGGCUCAGAAAAAACAGCGGAGAGAUCAUAUGGAGAGAACCUGAAGUUUGAUUGUUCAAAAGUUUCGAUAUGUUGGUGGGGAGUUCAAGGUUUGAGAUGUGAACAACUAUUUGUUCUGUAUUUCUUUUAUUUUUGUUUAAAAAGAUUGUUUGUUUCAAUUAAAACCUGGUUCCCUGAAGUUUUGUUAAUUUGGUUGGAGGUUAUACCUAGAUUACUAUGGGUUAGCAGGCUUCCCCAAACUCCAGCCCUCCAGAUGUUGUUGAACUACAACUCCCAUGAUUCUAUGAAUGAAAUAGAUAGGCUGAGUAUCAUGGAAGUUGUAGUUCAGUAACAUCUGGAGGGCCGGAGUUUGGGGAAGGGUUAAAGGGUCAGGUCAGUUCAAUAGGGCUGGUUCAAAAUUUUUGCAGUCAUUGGGUCGUUUUUCUUUUAGACAAAGAAUUAGAAGGCUUGUUUAGAAAGGAUUUAGUUCACUGAUCAAGUGUGGGAUUAGACGUUUUUAACUCUGGAUUACAAGACAUGGUUGAGAAGGCUGACGCGGUUUUGGAAGGGGACAUCCCAGUUGCUUUUGGCAACGGGAUGGCUGUUGGGGUAAGUCACCCUCAUAAUGCAGCUUUGAGGGUGAAUAUUUAGAAAAGUGGACAGUUCAGGUUAUCAGGGCAGUACUGGCAUAUGUAAUGGUUUAAUACUCUGGGUAAUGGUUAUGCCAAGAGUUUGUUACUUAAUAAUAAUAACAACGUGUGGAAUAGAAAAGGUUUUGGUAUAAGUCAAUGUUUGAAAGAACAAGUUGUUUGGAUAUUUAAAUUUAGUAAAUGAACGACCACGGCCUUUUCCCAA